AUUGAAUGCUGGCGGCAUGCUUUACACAUGCAAGUCGAACGGUAACAGGCCGCAAGGUGCUGACGAGUGGCGAACGGGUGAGUAAUGCAUCGGAACGUGCCCAGUCGUGGGGGAUAACGCAGCGAAAGCUGCGCUAAUACCGCAUACGAUCUAUGGAUGAAAGCGGGGGACCGUAAGGCCUCGCGCGAUUGGAGCGGCCGAUGUCAGAUUAGGUAGUUGGUGGGGUAAAGGCUCACCAAGCCAACGAUCUGUAGCUGGUCUGAGAGGACGACCAGACACACUGGGAAUGAGACACGGCCCAGACUCCUACGGGAGGCAGCAGUGGGGAAUUUUGGACAAUGGGCGCAAGCCUGAUCCAGCAAUGCCGCGUGCAGGAAGAAGGCCUUCGGGUUGUAAACUGCUUUUGUACGGAACGAAACGGUCCUGGUUAAUACCUGGGGCUAAUGACGGUACCGUAAGAAUAAGCACCGGCUAACUACGUGCCAGCAGCCGCAGUAACAC
rnacentral:rRNA from 1 species